rnacentral:rRNA from 1 species
UAGGGAAUCUUCGGCAAUGGGGGGAACCCUGACCGAGCAACGCCGCGUGAGUGAAGAAGGUUUUCGGAUCGUAAAGCUCUGUUGUUAAGGAAGAACGAGUGUGAGAAUGGAAAGUUCAUGCUGUGACGGUACUUAACCAGAAAGGGACGGCUAACUACGUGCCAGCAGCCGCGGUAACACGUAGGUCCCGAGCGUUGUCCGGAUUUAUUGGGCGUAAAGCGAGCGCAGGCGGUUAGAAAAGUCUGAAGUGAAAGGCAGUGGCUCAACCAUUGUAGGCUUUGGAAACUGUUUAACUUGAGUGCAGAAGGGGAGAGUGGAAUUCCAUGUGUAGCGGUGAAAUGCGUAGAUAUAUGGAGGAACACCGGUGGCGAAAGCGGCUCUCUGGUCUGUAACUGACGCUGAGGCUCGAAAGCGUGGGGAGCGAACAGG